rnacentral:rRNA from 1 species
CACGGGGGGAGCAAGCGUUGUUCGGAAUCACUGGGCGUAAAGGGCGUGUAGGCGGUCAGGUAAGUGAGACGUGAAAUGCCCCGGCUUACCCGGGGACCUGCGUCUCAUACUGCUUGGCUUGAGUACGGGAGAGGGUGUGGGAAUUCCUGGUGUAGCGGUGAAAUGCGUAGAUAUCAGGAGGAACACCGGUGGCGAAGGCGAGUCCCUGGACAGAUCCUGACGCUGAGGCACGAAAGCUAGGGGAGCAAACAGG